rnacentral:rRNA from 1 species
CAUCGGGAAACUGGUGCUAAUACCGUAUAAUGACUAUGGUCCAAAGAUUUAUCGCCCAAGGAUCAACCCGCGUUGGAUUAGCUAGUUGGUGAGGUAAUGGCUCACCAAGGCUACGAUCCAUAGCUGGUCUUAGAGGAUGAUCAGCCACACUGGAACUGAGACACGGUCCAGACUCCUACGGGAGGCAGCAGUAAGGAAUAUUGGACAAUGGGGGAAACCCUGAUCCAGCCAUGCCGCGUGAAUGAAGAAGGCCUUAGGGUUGUAAAGUUCUUUUAGAUGUGAAGAUAAUGACGGUAGCAUCAGAAAAAG